rnacentral:lncRNA from 12 species
GCAGAAAGUUCUGAGUUGCCUACAGACCCAAAUCACUGGGAUGUACUUAAAACCAGACUGCAUGUUUAGAAUUUCCUCCGGUUGAUCCCAAGCAAAAGGAUCAUCUUUUACUAUGUCUUUCAAGACAAAAGCCCCUAGUUCUUAACAAUGAAGAGUAAAUUUAGGGACAAGACCCUCAUUGUGCUUAUUAAUAAUGCCUUUUAGUAGCUAGAAGGAAAGACUCUCCAAAGCCAACCCCACACCCUUGCCAAACCUGAAGUAAUGAAACAUCAGUGAUUCAGAGCAUAAUUUUGAGAAGUCAAAACAAAAUUCCUUUGAAACCUAAAGAAUGAAAAUACAUUUUCUGGGGAACCGAGUAGAAGGAAGUGUAUGUAUUUAAUCUGGAGAAGAUACUACUAAUGGGGGUAAGAAUACAUUGUCGUUGGACUGAGUCUUGAAGAAUCAGUAGGCUUGUUUGAAGCAUAUGUUUUAGUUAUUUUUCUAUUUUUUUUAUUUAAGUAUGUAUUUAAAAUAGAGUUUCAUUUAUUUAAUUCAACUCAUGUCUUUUUGUUUCUAUUUUUUAAAGAUUUUAUUUAUUUAUUCAUGAGAAGCACAGAGAGAGGGGCAGAGACACAGGCAGAGGGAGAAGCAGGCUCCCCAUAGGGAGCCAGAUGAGGGAUUCGAUUCCAGGACCCCAGGAUCACGACCUGAGCCGAAGGCAGACACUCAACGGCUGAGCCACCCAGGCAUCCCUGUCCUUGCAUUUCUAACACCUGCCAGGUGCUAUGCUGGGCACAGGGGUUCCAAAGCUGUACCUGGGUAACGGUGAAGGAGGUGGUCCAGGAAGAUUUCAGAGAGCAAGUGACUUCUGUCCUGGGCCUGGAAGACCAGAAGGCUUCCAACAGGCAAGGUAUUCUGCGCCUCUGAAGCGGCAGGGACUCUGCUAGAUUUGAUUUGCCAAGGCAAUUCUGAGAGCAAUACUACAGACCCUGGUCCCCGCUGGAUGGGGCCAGUCUUGGUAUGUUGACGUGCUGCCUGCCCCGGUCGGGACUCUGGGUGGUCCCAAGGCUUGCAGGGUGGGGGAGAGGAGAGGGGCCAGCAGCUCUAACUGGGAGGCGCUGGAGAAAGAACAAUUCAG